UAAUCUCAUAUCAUGAUAACGUCAGCAGAAGGUCACUGAAAGAAGCAGACACUAAAACCAGAGAAGAAGAAGUAUGAGCGUCUCAGAAUUACCGACGAAGGAGAGCAAUGUCCUGAAAGGGCAUGAAGGUGGAGUUCUAGCUGCAAGGUUCAAUAGCGAUGGCAAUUACUGCCUCAGCUGUGGCAAGGACCGCACAAUUCGCCUCUGGAAUCCUCACCGUGGUAUUCACAUCAAGACCUACAAAUCACAUGGCCGUGAAGUCCGCGACGUCCAUGUCACCCCAGACAACUCCAAGUUAUGUUCAUGCGGCGGUGAUCGCCAAGUCUUCUAUUGGGAUGUUUCUACAGGUCGCGUCAUUCGAAAAUUUCGUGGCCAUGAUGGCGAGGUGAAUGCUGUGAAAUUUAAUGAGUAUGCUUCUGUCGUAGUCUCAGCAGGCUAUGAUCAAUCAUUGCGUGCUUGGGACUGCAGAUCUCAUAGCACUGAGCCAAUUCAGAUCAUUGAUACAUUUUCAGACAGUGUAAUGUCUGUUUGCUUAACAAAAAGUGAAAUAAUUGGAGGAAGUGUUGACGGCACUGUUCGAACAUUUGAUAUGCGAAUUGGUAGAGAAAUAUCGGAUAACUUGGGGCAUCCUGUAAAUUGUAUCUCCAUGUCCAACGAUGCUAAUUGCAUAUUAGCUAGUUGCUUAGAUUCAACUCUCCGUCUAUUGGACAGGUCUUCUGGUGAGCUAUUACAAGAAUAUAAGGGCCAUACUUGUAAGUCUUACAAGUUGGAUUGCUGUCUUACCAAUACUGAUGCACAUGUAACUGGCGGAUCUGAGGAUGGAUUCAUUUAUUUCUGGGAUUUAGUAGAUGCAUCUGUUGUCUCCAAGUUUCGAGCUCAUUCCUCUGUUGUGACGAGUGUGAGUUACCACCCGAAAGAUAAAUGUAUGAUAACUGCCUCCGUAGAUGGGACGAUUCGGGUUUGGAAGAAUGAGAGCCAAUAGGUAGAAGAACACGAAUUUCCUCACCUUAUUAAUGCACAUUAUGUUCCGAGGUUCUCCAGAAUGCCAAACAUAAUACCUGGUUGGUUUUUGACUGACCCAAAGCCUCUCUAACUUUGUCCUUGAGUUUCAACCAAGUUCAUAAAGUUGUUUGUUGACCAUUCCAAUUCCAAACUCCGAUCAUGAAACCAUAAUUUGUAAUUUAUACGACAUUUUUUGACAUUAAUGUAAUGCUCAUCCAUUGAUCCUUAGAAUUGAAGUUUUUAUUCUUUUUUUUAUCAGUCUCUGAAUCUAACAAUCAGAUCAGCUGGUAAAGAAUUGAGAAAGAGGCAAUAAGCUAUGUUAAGACAAUUUGUUUCUCCACAAAAUAAAAGAAAUUGCAGAAACAUAUUGAUUACAAAGCCAAAACAAGGUUGAUACCUUAAAUUUGGUGUACCAAAUUUAUAAGAAUGAAGUGGCAUUGGCUUACACUGACAAAAGUAAAUGAAGAUUGUCUAGAACACAAGUUAGUAGUUG